rnacentral:rRNA from 1 species
UACGUAGGGGGCAAGCGUUGUCCGGAAUCAUUGGGCGUAAAGCGCGUGUAGGCGGUCCGGUUAGUCGGCUGUGAAAGUCAAGGGCUCAACCCUUGAAUGCCGGUCGAUACUGCCGGACUAGAGUCCGGAAGAGGCAAGUGGAAUUCCCGGUGUAGCGGUGAAAUGCGCAGAUAUCAGGAAGAACACCCGUGGCGAAAGCGGCUCUCUGGAACGGUACUGACGCUGAGACGCGAAAGCGUGGGGAGCGAACAGG